AGUGAACGCUGGCGGUAGGCCUAACACAUGCGAGUCGAACGGCAGCACAGUAAUAGCUUGCUCUUACGGGUGGCGAGUGGCGGACGGGUGAGGAAUACAUCGGAAUCUACUUUUUCGUGGGGGAUAACGUAGGGAAACUUACGCUAAUACCGCAUACGACCUACGGGUGAAAGCAGGGGAUCUUCGGACCUUUCGCGAUUGAAUGAGCCGAUGUCGGAUUAGCUAGUUGGCGGGGUAAAGGCCCACCAAGGCGACGAUCCGUAGCUGGUCUGAGAGGAUGAUCAGCCACACUGGAACUGAGACACGGUACAGACUCCUACGGGAGGCAGCAGUGGGGAAUAUUGGACAAUGGGCGCAAGCCUGAUCCAGCCAUACCGCGUGGGUGAAGAAGGCCUUCGGGUUGUAAAGCCCUUUUGUUGGGAAAGAAAAGCAGCAGGUUAAUACCCCGCUGUUCUGACGGUACCCAAAGAAUAAGCACCGGCUAACUUCGUG
rnacentral:rRNA from 1 species